CUUCGAGAUCCUAAGCGCCACUUAACAACUAACUGUUCAUCGAAUGUUUUUAACAUUUAUUAUUAAAUUAUUUAUUGUUAUUUUCAUUUAAUUAAAUAGGUAGGAACGAGUUGCCGACACAGAUGCAAAUCAUGGAUACCGAGAAAGAUAUUCAAAAGAAAGUUAUGAGUUUAUGCAUUCAACUUCCUAUACAUGUUGCAACUUGGAAAACUGUGCUGGAUAAUAUACAAUCUCCACUAAAAACUUUGGUAAACUAUGGGGAACAGCUCAGGUUUGUUGAACAAGCUAGAAUAGGAAAUGAUAUGAUGGAUAAUUUUAGUUUAGUUCAGAUGGAGUUACAACUGAAAAUCUUGGGCCAAAUUGAAGAGGAACUAGUCUUAAUAAAAUCUUAUAUAAAAAAACUGAAUGAAACAAACCAUGACCUGAAAAAUAAACUGGCAAAUUUAGAACGGGCCACUAUUGAAUUGGACUGGGGUUCCAAUUGUUCCCUAAUUCAAGGAACU